GACGAACGCUGGCGGCGUGCUUAACACAUGCAAGUCGAGCGGUAAGGCCCUUUCGGGGGUACGACGAGCGGCGAACGGGUGAGUAACACGUGGGUGACCUGCCCUCCAGCUCUGGGAUAAGCCUGGGAAACCGGGGUCUAAUACCGGAUAUGACUCCAUGACGCAUGUUGUGGGGUGGAAAGCCUUGUGCGGCUGAGGAUGGGCCCGCGGCCUAUCAGCUUGUUGGUGGGGUGAUGGCCUACCAAGGCGACGACGGGUAGCCGGCCUGAGAGGGCGACCGGCCACACUGGGACUGAGACACGGCCCAGACUCCUACGGGAGGCAGCA
rnacentral:rRNA from 1 species